UACGUAGGGGGCAAGCGUUGUCCGGAUUUAUUGGGCGUAAAGAGCGUGUAGGCGGCCAAGCAGGUCCGCUGUGAAAACUCGAGGCUCAACCUCGAGACGUCGGUGGAAACCGUUUGGCUAGAGUCCGGAAGAGGAGAGUGGAAUUCCCGGUGUAGCGGUGAAAUGCGCAGAUAUCAGGAGGAACACCGGUGGCGAAGGCGGAUCUCUGGGCCUUGCCUGACGCUGAGGCGCGAAAGCUAGGGGAGCGAACAGG
rnacentral:rRNA from 1 species